rnacentral:rRNA from 1 species
GAGCAAAAGAAAUCAACCGAGAUUCCCCUAGUAGUGGCGAGCGAACGGGGAGUAGCCCUUAAGUUUUGUGCGGUUUAGUGGAACAGUCUGGAAAGUCUGGUCAUAGCGGGUGAUAGCCCCGUACACGAAAAACUGCAUGAGAUGAAAUCGAGUAAGGCGAGGCACGUGAAACCUUGUCUGAAUAUGGGGGGACCAUCCUCCAAGGCUAAAUACUCCUAGCUGACCGAUAGUGAACUAGUACCGUGAGGGAAAGGCGAAAAGAACCCCGGGAGGGGAGUGAAAUAGAUCCUGA